AUUGAACGCUGGCGGCAUGCCUUACACAUGCAAGUCGAACGGCAGCACGGGAGCUUGCUCCUGGUGGCGAGUGGCGAACGGGUGAGUAAUAUAUCGGAACGUGCCCAGUAGUGGGGGAUAGCCCGGCGAAAGCCGGAUUAAUACCGCAUACGAUCUACGGAUGAAAGCGGGGGAUCGCUAGACCUCGCGCUAAUGGAGCGGCCGAUAUCUGAUUAGCUAGUUGGUGAGGUAAAGGCUCACCAAGGCGACGAUCAGUAGCUGGUCUGAGAGGACGACCAGCCACACUGGAACUGAGACACGGUCCAGACUCCUACGGGAGGCAGCAGUGGGGAAUUUUGGACAAUGGGGGAAACCCUGAUCCAGCAAUGCCGCGUGAGUGAAGAAGGCCUUCGGGUUGUAAAGCUCUUUUGUCAGGGAAGAAACGGUUCUGGCUAAUAUCCAGAGCUAAUGACGGUACCUGAAGAAUAAGCACCGGCUAACUACGUGCCAGCAGCCGCCGUAA
rnacentral:rRNA from 1 species